GGCUCGUAGGCGGUUCGUCGCGUCCGGUGUGAAAGUCCAUCGCUUAACGGUGGAUCCGCGCCGGGUACGGGCGGGCUUGAGUGCGGUAGGGGAGACUGGAAUUCCCGGUGUAACGGUGGAAUGUGUAGAUAUCGGGAAGAACACCAAUGGCGAAGGCAGGUCUCUGGGCCGUUACUGACGCUGAGGAGCGAAAGCGUGGGGAGCGAACAGGAUUAGAUACCCUGGUAGUCACACGNCCNCGUAAACGGUGAUGCUGGAUGUGGGGCCCUUUUUCCGGGUCCUGUGUCGGAGCUAACGCGUUAAGCAUCCCGCCUGGGGAGUACGGCCGCAAGGCUAAAACUCAAAGAAAUUGACGGGGGCCCGCACAAGCGGCGGAGCAUGCGGAUUAAUUCGAUGCAACGCGAAGAACCUUACCUGGGCUUGACAUGUGCCGGACGCCCGCGGAGACGUGGGUUCCCUUCGGGGCCGGUUCACAGGUGGUGCAUGGUCGUCGUCAGCUCGUGUCGUGAGAUGUUGGGUUAAGUCCCGCAACGAGCGCAACCCUCGCCGCGUGUUGUCAGCGGGUCAUGCCGGGAACUCACGUGGGACCGCCGGGGUUAACUCGGAGGAAGGUGGGGAUGACGUCAGAUCAUCAUGCCCCUUACGUCCAGGGCUUCACGCAUGCUACAAUGGCCGGUACAACGGGGUGCGACACGGUGACGUGGGGCGGAUCCCUGAAAACCGGUCUCAGUUCGGAUCGCAGUCUGCAACUCGACUGCGUGAAGGUGGAGUCGCUAGUAAUC
rnacentral:rRNA from 1 species